AACGAACGCUGGCGGCAUGCCUAACACAUGCAAGUCGAACGAGACCUUCGGGUCUAGUGGCGCACGGGUGCGUAACGCGUGGGAACCUGCCCUUAGGUUCGGAAUAACUCCCCGAAAGGGGUGCUAAUACCGGAUAAUGUCUUCGGACCAAAGAUUUAUCGCCUUUGGAUGGGCCCGCGUUGGAUUAGCUAGUUGGUAGGGUAAAGGCCUACCAAGGCGACGAUCCAUAGCUGGUCUGAGAGGAUGAUCAGCCACACUGGGACUGAGACACGGCCCAGACUCCUACGGGAGGCAGCAGUGGGGAAUAUUGGACAAUGGGCGAAAGCCUGAUCCAGCAAUGCCGCGUGAGUGAUGAAGGCCUUAGGGUUGUAAAGCUCUUUUACCCGGGAUGAUAAUGACAGUACCGGGAGAAUAAGCUCCGGCUAGCUCCGUG
rnacentral:rRNA from 1 species